GACGAACGCUGGCGGCGUGCCUAACACAUGCAAGUCGAGCGAAGUACUUAUCAAUAAGCCUUCGGGCAGAUUGAUAAGCUACUUAGCGGCGGAUGGGUGAGUAACGCGUGAGGAACCUGCCUUCCACAAGGGGAUAGCCUCGGGAAACCGGGAUUAAUACCCUAUGACACUUAAAGGUCCCAUGACUUUUAAGUUAAAGCGUUAGCGGUGGAAGAUGGCCUCGCGUCCCAUUAGCUAGUUGGUGAGGUAAGGGCUCACCAAGGCCACGAUGGGUAGCCGGCUUGAGAGAGUGACCGGCCACACUGGAACUGAGACACGGUCCAGACUCCUACGGGAGGCAGCAGUGGGGAAUAUUGCACAAUGGGCGAAAGCCUGAUGCAGCGACGCCGCGUGAGGGAUGACGGCCUCGGUUGUAACCUCUUCUAGCAGGAAGAAGACGAAAGUAGACGGUACCGUCGCAGAAGAAGACACCGGCUAACCUACGUGCCACGCAGCCGCGGUAACGGGAGGUAGGUAACG
rnacentral:rRNA from 1 species